ACUAAACUGGCACCCGGCAGGAGGGUCGGGUUGCCUGGCAACACAGCACCACUGGCUUAGCGCCGGAGCACGGCCAUCGCCGGCGACGGGGAAACUAUCCGGCAGUGUGUGACCUUUGCACCCACCUGGGGAUCUGCCGGGGCCCCUCUGCCUCUUGCGAUCCGGGAAAGCCGGCACGGAUGAGCAGGAACACAGACAAAUUUGAGGCACUUUAAAGACCAGCUCACCAGCUUGAGUUGAAGCGCUUGAGUUGAAUGCCGGAAGGAAAACUAGAGCCAGAGUCAAGCUCAUAUGGUGACCCCAAUCCUUUUUCGGAAAAGUAAAAGCAGUGCAAUGAAUAAUUCCAGCGCUGAAGCCAGACCUUUUAAUGGUUCUAUGGGCCAUCCCCACCUUCCCCAAAUUCCCGAUCCCAAGUAGGACCCUCGCUGGAGGUCCCUGCUCGCUAAUGCGAUUAGAGUGAGUGCUGGCAGCGCAUUUGCCAAACGGUUUUUAAAUCGCUUAGCAGACAUCACAUCCUCGGCUCAGCCCCACGCCGCCCGGCAUCCCGGCACCCCAGCAUCCUCAAAGUGCAUUUCAAUUUCCUCCGUGUUGACACGCUGAUGUCAGAUGGCACACACAGUGUCCCAGUGCCACAGAAAGCCCGACGGUGCUGCAUCAUUUCCAAGUCUCUUCCGGCCUUUGUUUGAGCUUCGAUUCAUAACCGCUCCAUCUUGGCUGGAAAUAAAGCCGUUCGCCACCAAAGGAGCGCGCAGAAGCACUCGCUGCUCGGCUGGGACCCAGUCCCCCUCCCCGGAAUCGUUGUCUUCGUUAUCCUUAUCAUCAAGCGGCAUACGCACUCCGGAAAGGUUCCGCGCCCGGAACAGCCUCCGCCCAGGGUAAACAAUGGGGGCGCCUCGAAACACUCAAGUGCAAUAU